CAAGUGUUAUUCCUUCACCUCUCGGUUUCCUCUAACCCGUGCUAUCUCUCUUCUCUCAAAGCCGAUCUCUCUCUUUUCGUAAACAUAAGAUCUCCACCGAAAACUUUCAAGGAAAUCAACCUUGUAACUUUGAGAUUUCGGAUUUCUCUUUCCCUUCUCAUUUGCUGUGUAUUUUCGUGGCUUGAAAGGGGACCCAAACAGGUAUGAAUGAUGAGGCUGUGGAGCUAGGCACUGCAGAGGAGGGAGGGGCCGAUGCUUAGAGUUCCCUGUCGGUUCAACUUUUGAUAAUAAUGGUUAUGUUUUUUAUGUUUUUAUGAUGGAUCCCAUGUUGGGACAUUUUGUUGGUUUGACUUUAAAACAAUAUUUCUUCGGGCAUGAUGUAAAUACUAUGGUGGAGUGAUGGUAAUGGUGUAACUUCUAUGGUGGGGUGAUGGUAAUCCCACAUAAGAAGGUUUAACGCCUUUUGUAUGUGUUGUAGGGACUGAGUCCCCUCUUAAUUGUUUUGA